rnacentral:rRNA from 1 species
UACGAAGGGGGCUAGCGUUGCUCGGAAUCACUGGGCGUAAAGCGCACGUAGGCGGCUUUUUAAGUCAGGGGUGAAAUCCUGGAGCUCAACUCCAGAACUGCCUUUGAUACUGAGAAGCUUGAGUCCGGGAGAGGUGAGUGGAACUGCGAGUGUAGAGGUGAAAUUCGUAGAUAUUCGCAAGAACACCAGUGGCGAAGGCAGCGCCCUGGCCGCCAUCUGACGCUCAGGCACGAAAGCUGGGGGAGCGAACAGG